rnacentral:tRNA from 1 species
GCGGUCGUGGCGGAAUUGGUAGACGCACUACCUUGAGGUGGUAGCGGGGCGACCCAUGGAAGUUCGAGUCUUCUCGACCGCACCA